UACGUAGGGUGCAAGCGUUGUCCGGAAUUAUUGGGCGUAAAGAGCUCGUAGGCGGUCUGUCGCGUCGGCUGUGAAAACUCGGGGCUCAACCCCGAGCUUGCAGUCGAUACGGGCAGGCUGGAGUUCGGCAGGGGAGACUGGAAUUCCUGGUGUAGCGGUGAAAUGCGCAGAUAUCAGGAGGAACACCGGUGGCGAAGGCGGGUCUCUGGGCCGAUACUGACGCUGAGGAGCGAAAGCGUGGGGAGCGAACAGG
rnacentral:rRNA from 1 species